UACAGAGGUCUCAAGCGUUGUUCGGAUUCAUUGGGCGUAAAGGGUGCGUAGGCGGCGCGGUAAGUCGGGUGUGAAAUCUCGGAGCUUAACUCCGAAACUGCAUUCGAUACUGCCGUGCUUGAAGACUGGAGAGGAGACUGGAAUUUACGGUGUAGCGGUGAAAUGCGUAGAUAUCGUAAGGAAGACCAGUGGCGAAGGCGGGUCUCUGGACAGUUCCUGACGCUGAGGCACGAAGGUCAGGGGGAGCAAAACGGGG
rnacentral:rRNA from 1 species